GUAGGAUAACGUUGCGUCAGCAACGGCCCGUAGGGCGAGCGAAGCGAGUCAUCCUGCACGACCCACCA
rnacentral:sRNA from 1 species